rnacentral:lncRNA from 1 species
CCAGCAACGGACUUCUGAACAUCCAGGGGGUUUGGACUGUCUGAAAUGUGGCAAAAAGGGAUACUGAAAGAAUGAAUACCAAAUCCGAAGGGGAAAGAAGGAGAAUUCAUCCUUCAUUUGGGUGAGAACUGAUGAAAACUGACAGGGAUGAGACUCCAUGUCAUAGAUGCCAGGAUAACAUUAAAGGGUCUGACACCAGCCGUAUUUUAUAAUGAGACCUGUGGAAAUCAAUCAGCCCCUCCAAAGUGUGUGCCACCCAAUCACUCAACACUAGGGUGCCGGCAGAAACAGGUUCAUCAUGCAGAGGAGGUUGAACAUGUCGCAGGGAGGUGA